GAAGCUGGAUUCGCUAGUAAUCGCGCAUCAGCCAUGGCGCGGUGAAUACGUUCCCGGGCCUUGUACACACCGCCCGUCAAGCCAUGGGAGCCGGGGGUAUCUGAAGUGCGUAACCGCAAGGAGCGUCCUAGGGUAAAACUGGUGACUGGGGCUAAGUCGUAACAAGGUAGCCGUACCGGAAGGUGCGGCUGGAACACCUCCUUUCUGGAG
rnacentral:rRNA from 1 species